rnacentral:rRNA from 1 species
UCCUACGGGGGGCUGCAGUGGGGAAUUUUCCGCAAUGGGCGAAAGCCUGACGGAGCAAUACCGCGUGAGGGAAGAAUGCCUACGGGUUGUAAACCUCUUUUAUCAGGGAGGAAGAAAAUGACGUGUACCUGAUGAAUAAGCAUCGGCUAACUCUGUGCCAGCAGCCGCGGUAAGACAGAGGAUGCAAGUGUUAUCCGGAAUUACUGGGCGUAAAGCGUCUGUAGGUUGUUAAACAAGUCAACUGUUAAAUCUUGAAGCUCAACUUCAAAAUCGCAGUCGAAACUGUUAAACUAGAGUAUAGUAGAGGUAAAGGGAAUUUCCAGUGGAGCGGUGAAAUGCGUAGAUAUUGGGAAGAACACCGAUGGCGAAAGCACUUUACUGGGCUAUUACUGACACUCAGAGACGACAGCUAGGGUAGCAAAUGGGAUUAGAUACCCCAGUAGUCCUAGCCGUAAACUAUGGAUACUAGAUGUUGAACAGAUCGACCUGUGCAGUAUUAAAGCUAACGCGUUAAGUAUCCCGCCUGGGAAGUAUGCUCGCAAGAGUGAAACUCAAAGGAAUUGACGG